rnacentral:lncRNA from 1 species
AGUUUAUUUCUAGGCUGAGUACAUGGCUAUACUUGGAUCUCCCUUUGCCUUUAUCUCUGGGAUUUCCUUUGCUCUUUCUUGGAUUGACGUUCUCAUUUCCCAGACUCCAUGUCUUCCUCUUUCUUGCUUUGCCUCAUAAUUUUGGACUUACCUAGUAGCUUCUUCUUCUUUUUUUUUUUUUUCCUUUUUCACAUCAGAUGGGAAAUGUGCCAACGUCACAACAAGGUUUGAGGGAGGCACAUCUCAUGCUCGGACAUGAACACCCGAUCAUCAUGCUUAUGAACUACAAAAGGAUCUCCAGUAUGGGCUCACGGCAGUUGGCCCUUGAAUAACAUGAAUUUGAACUGCCUGAGUCUGCUAAUAUGUGGAUUAUCUUCUGCUUCUGCACCCUGAGACAGCAAGACCAACCCUUCCUCUUGCUUCUUUUCCUUAGCCUAUUCAACGUGAAGAUGACUAAGGGACAUGGAUGAAGCUGGAGACCAUCAUUCUCAGCAAACUAACACAAGAACAGAAAACCAAACACCACAUGUUCUCACUGGUGAGGACACAAUAGGAUGACCAUCAGCAAACCAGGAAUAAUGCCCUCAACAGACAUCUGAUCUGCUGACACCUUGAUCUUGGACUUCUAAUUCUGCAGAACUGUGAGAAAUAAAUAACUGUUUUUAAAAA